CCCUUAGAUGUCCUGGGCUGCACGCGCGCUACACUGAUGUAUUCAACAAGUGUUACCUUGACCGAGAGGCCUAGGAAAUCUUUUAAAAGUGCAUCGUGAUAGGAAUAGAUUAUUGCAAUUUUUAAUCUUGAACGAGGAAUUCCUAGUAAACGCAGAUCAUCAAUCUGCAUUGAUUACGUCCCUGCCCUUUGUACACACCGCCCGUCGCUACUGCCAACUGAGAUGGGUCCUGAAUUGUUAGGAACGCCCGUCAAGGGGCCUACCCGGUCCCUAGUGCGGUGACGAGAAUAACUGUAAAUGGCAUAUCUUGUAGGGAGUAAAAGCCGUAACA
rnacentral:rRNA from 1 species